AUGCAAGUCGAGCGGUAAGGCCCUUCGGGGUACACGAGCGGCGAACGGGUGAGUAACACGUGGGUGAUCUGCCUCGCACUCUGGGAUAAGCCUGGGAAACUGGGUCUAAUACCGGAUAUGACCACUGAUCGCAUGGUUGGUGGUGGAAAGAUUUAUCGGUGCGAGAUGGGCCCGCGGCCUAUCAGCUUGUUGGUGGGGUAAUGGCCUACCAAGGCGACGACGGGUAGCCGACCUGAGAGGGUGACCGGCCACACUGGGACUGAGACACGGCCCAGACUCCUACGGGAGGCAGCAGUGGGGAAUAUUGCACAAUGGGCGAAAGCCUGAUGCAGCGACGCCGCGUGAGGGAUGACGGCCUUCGGGUUGUAAACCUCUUUCGACAGGGACGAAGCGCAAGUGACGGUACCUGUAGAAGAAGCACCGGCCAACUACGUGCCAGCAGCCGCGGUAAUACGUAGGGUGCGAGCGUUGUCCGGAAUUACUGGGCGUAAAGAGCUUGUAGGCGGUUCGUCGCGUCGAUUGUGAAAACUUGCAGCUCAACUGCAAGCUUGCAGUCGAUACGGGCGGACUAGAGUACUUCAGGGGAGACUGGAAUUCCUGGUGUAGCGGUGAAAUGCGCAGAUAUCAGGAGGAACACCGGUGGCGAAGGCGGGUCUCUGGGAAGUAACUGACGCUGAGAAGCGAAAGCGUGGGUAGCGAACAGGAUUAGAUACCCUGGUAGUCCACGCCGUAAACGGUGGGUACUAGGUGUGGGUUUCCUUCCACGGGAUCCGUGCCGUAGCUAACGCAUUAAGUACCCCGCCUGGGGAGUACGGCCGCAAGGCUAAAACUCAAAGGAAUUGACGGGGGCCCGCACAAGCGGCGGAGCAUGUGGAUUAAUUCGAUGCAACGCGAAGAACCUUACCUGGGUUUGACAUACACCAGAAAGCCGUAGAGAUACGGCCCCCCUUGUGGUUGGUGUACAGGUGGUGCAUGGCUGUCGUCAGCUCGUGUCGUGAGAUGUUGGGUUAAGUCCCGCAACGAGCGCAACCCUUAUCUUAUGUUGCCAGCGCGUAAUGGCGGGGACUCGUGAGAGACUGCCGGGGUCAACUCGGAGGAAGGUGGGGACGACGUCAAGUCAUCAUGCCCCUUAUGUCCAGGGCUUCACACAUGCUACAAUGGCCGGUACAGAGGGCUGCGAUACCGUGAGGUGGAGCGAAUCCCUUAAAGCCGGUCUCAGUUCGGAUCGGGGUCUGCAACUCGACCCCGUGAAGUUGGAGUCGCUAGUAAUCGCAGAUCAGCAACGCUGCGGUGAAUACGUUCCCGGGCCUUGUACACACCGCCCGUCACGUCAUGAAAGUCGGUAACACCCGAAGCCGGUGGCCUAACCC
rnacentral:rRNA from 1 species